rnacentral:rRNA from 1 species
AUUGAACGCUGGCGGCAGGCUUAACACAUGCAAGUCGAGCGGAGAUGAGGUGCUUGCACCUUAUCUUAGCGGCGGACGGGUGAGUAAUGCUUAGGAAUCUGCCCAUUAGUGGGGGACAACAUUCCGAAAGGAAUGCUAAUACCGCAUACGCCCUACGGGGGAAAGCAGGGGAUCUUCGGACCUUGCGCUAAUAGAUGAGCCUAAGUCGGAUUAGCUAGUUGGUGGGGUAAAGGCCGACCAAGGCGACGAUCUGUAGCGGGUCUGAGAGGAUGAUCCGCCACACGGGGACUGAGACACGGCCCAGACUCCUACGGGAGGCAGCAGUGGGGAAUAUUGGACAAUGGGCGGAAGCCUGAUCUAGCCAUGCCGCGUGUGUGAAGAAGGCCUUUUGGUUGUAAAGCACUUUAAGCGAGGAGGAGGCUACCUGGAUUAAUACUCUAGGAUAGUGGACGUUACUCGCAGAAUAAGCACCGGCUAACUCUGUGCCAGCAGCCGCCGUAAUAC